rnacentral:rRNA from 1 species
AUGGGGGAUCCCUACACCAAUUUCUUGAGGGGCUACAGCCUCCGCUACUCCAACGCAGCGGCUUCUUCCUCCUCCCCCUUCCCCAGCUACACCUCCUGCCUCCACCACCCACCUCCCUCCUCCCCUCCGAUCAGGGAAGCCCUCCCCCUCCUCAGCCUCACGCCCUCCUCCUCAACCUACCACAACCCCCAUCAACACAACGAUCAAGAAGAUCACAAGGUCAUAACCACCGCCUCCUGCAGCAGCCAGGCAGAAGCUGCCGAUCAGGCAGCCGGGGAGGUCACCGUUGCCCUGCACAUCGGCCUACCCAGCCCCGGCCCCUCUGAUGCAGCAGCCAGCAGCGGCGACCACCGCCAAGAAGCAGCGGCGGCGGGAGGAGUGGCUGCUGAGGAGAGAAGCCAGCAGCAGCAGGAAGAAGGGCAGGAGGAAGGGGAAGGAGAGGAGGAGGAUGGCAACACGAUGGCGCUUGGGGUGGGGUGCGCGUCCCUGGGGAUAGGGAGGCUCACAAAGGGGCAGUACUGGAUCCCCACCCCGUCCCAGAUCCUCAUUGGUCCCACGCAGUUUUCCUGCCCCGUCUGCUACAAGACCUUCAACAGAUACAACAACAUGCAGAUGCACAUGUGGGGGCACGGGUCGCAGUACCGGAAGGGCCCGGAGUCGCUCCGGGGGACGCAGCCGACGGCGAUGCUCCGCCUGCCGUGCUACUGCUGCGCGGCGGGCUGCCGGAACAACGUCGACCACCCGCGCGCCCGCCCGCUCAAGGACUUCCGCACCCUGCAGACGCACUACAAGCGCAAGCACGGGAUCAAGCCCUUCAUGUGCCGCAAGUGCGGCAAGGCCUUCGCCGUGCGCGGCGACUGGCGCACCCACGAGAAGAACUGCGGCAAGCUCUGGUACUGCGCCUGCGGCUCCGACUUCAAGCACAAGCGCUCCCUCAAGGACCACAUCCGCGCUUUCGGUCGCGGUCACGCGCCCUGCGGCAUCGACUGCUUCGACCUCGACGACGACGACCGCGACCCUUCCUCCGAGGUUGACCACACCGUCAACACAGCCGCCGCGGCCACCACCACCAACAGCGCCGGCAGCGACCGUCGCCAUUGGAAGGCCAAUUAA